UAAGGCUUAUAAUGAGGCUGGGCUAACAAAAAAAAAAAAAAUGCUUUUUCUGGAGCACAAAAUCCUUGAGUUAAGAGAGCUAUUUUAACAUUCAAAGUUCAAGCACAACUCUCUUUUUCACCAAUCUCACUCUUUCCCAACUUCUUCCCUUUUCUUUUAUUUUUACAUUGAGCUAAUAUUUCAUGCUUUUUCUUUUCUUCUUUUUCUUUUCUCAUACAUUUUUCUUUUUCAACACUNGAGCUCAAUGCCUUUCUUUUUGCCUUCCAACUCAAACAACCCCAUUUUCUUCUUUUUCUUUUCUCAUGCAUUUUUCUUUUUCAACACUUGAGCUCAAUGCCUUUCUUUUUGCCUUCCAACUUUUCCCCAAACAACCCCAAACUUGAACCUUUUCAAUACAUACAAUUAUUCUCAACCCAACUCAAGGUAAAUAAUUUCAAAACAAGGGUUUUCAUCCUGUUUAAGGCCAAGGUUUAAAAAGGGUAUAACAUUUUAAUCACUUUGGGCGAAAAUUUGGCUAAGUAAGGGCUUCCAAACAUGACCUUGAUCAUAUGACAUAAACAUGCAAUUCAAUCAAUUAUUAAGACUCAGGCAAUAUCAUUCAUGAUUCCCUGUGAACGGUACAUAUAUUAGAAAAUACUCUAAAGCUCAAUACCUCACACAACAUGCUUUCUCACACAUCAUUUAUACACCCUGCUUAGCAUUAUAAUCACAAUCAUAAACCACCACACAUCUGUUCACAUAGUUAAUGAACCAUUCACUUGAAUAUCAUCAUGCACACAAUCUCAAUCAUCAACCAUAUUUAAUCAUCAUUAAAUAACUCAUCAUGCAAUAUAAUCAAACCAUCAUCAAAAUCAGUGUACAAGCCAAGCAUAGACACAAAAAUAAAGUUCACCUAAUCUACAAAUCCAAAGUACAAAAGAAAAAGAAAAAUCCUUGUCUAAGUGCUGGUAUCCAUCAGUAGAUACCCUAUUAGUCCAUGUCCUCAUCUGAGUCGUACUCAUCACCAGCCUGUGCAUCAUCAAACUCAUCAUCCUCCUAGUCAUCCUCUUCUCUGCCUAGUGCUCCAGCUGCUCCAGACUUGCUACCCUGUGUGAUGGAAUCCUUCUUGACAUAGUCCUCUUAGUUGUAAUUUUACAUUUCAUUUUACGUGUAGUUUAACUUGCAAGGAGCAUGGGUCACUAUAAAUACCCAACUCCUCACUUGUAUUACUUACUUUUGAGAUUGAUGUGAAUAAACUUUUCUAUUUCAGAAAAUUAUUCUCUCUUGAAAGUCAUAGGCUAGAGAGUCUAAAGACUCCCUCUAGCCACCUUCCAAGGCACACUACCUUCAUUUUCCAUUUUCCAGAAACUCCACCGGUGCUUUCUCUCUCUUACACGUUACUUCACUCUCUCACCGCCACAUCUUCAGUGGNGUCAGCCAAGCUCUGCCACGCNUUUCAAGCAUANGCGUAUCAUUUUCAUUCUCGCCUCUUUCCACCACGAAACAGAACUUCAUUUCUCACUUUCUUCCUUCGCGUCACGCAUCAGAGAGCUUAGUUUUCUCGAGAGAGAGAGCUCGCCUUCGUCAACCUCAUCUCCCUCAUUGUAAGUCUUAUUUUCUUCCCCGAUUCACUUCAUCAUUCUUGUUUCCUCCUCGUUUCAGCCUCGUCUCACCAUUUCCCAUAGUUUUCACCGAUUGAUUUUGAUUUCCACCGUUUAAAACCACCUUUGCACCGAUCCAAACAAUUUUCACCAUUUAUUCUCUGUUUUGAACCGAUUAAUUGGUUCAUUUUGCGUCUCUCCCCAUUUCUAGGGUUCAAGGUUCAGAUUAGGGUUCGUUCAUAAUUUUAGGGUUUUCUUCAUUCGUUUUCGAUUCUCUUGUUUUAAUUAGGGUUUCUAACAUNUGUUCUUCGUUGUCCUUGUUAUUCCGUUGCAUUCUUCAUUCGGAUUGCUUCGAGGAACUUCUGGAUCGAGCUUGCGUAGAGUCUCAGUCAUCAUCCCCAAGGCUUCUUCCAUCACUGUGCCUGCUCCUGAACAGUCACAUAAUGCUCUUCAUUCUUCCUAGAAAGGAACCGAGAAGAAUAAAAUCUUGGUCUCUUUGGCUCAUUUCUCUUAUUUUCCAUGGUCUUUACCCUCCUUCAGGAUGAAAUUCUUGAGUGGAGAUCUUAGAUGCUUGCUAGACUUCCUUUUAAUUGAUGAUGAAUGCCUCUCCAAUGCAC
rnacentral:lncRNA from 1 species